CAACAGGUGUUUCUGGAGCUGCAUACUAUUUUCAGCCCACACAGCUGCAGAAACUUUGCAAAUAUUUAUGAAAAAUGAUAGUUACUGUUUACAAUGAAGAAGGCUAAGGAAUUAGAUGAAGCAAGAUUCUCAAGUUUCCCCUAGAAAACUUGAAUGCUCAGAUACAACAGACUCUGAAAUGGAAGAAAGGGUCAAAAUCACUUUUUGUUUGUUUGUUUCCACUUCUGACACACUGAUGAUCUGCUACUCAGUUUUUUAUUUCAGUGGGAAGAGAUACCAGUGUGUUUACAUUUAGCAGGUAGGAAACUGGAGUCAAAGUCAAGCACAGGGAAAUUAGGUUUUAGAUCCCAUUUCAACAUCAAACAGAAAAUAUUUCAUAUCCAAUCUCUGCAAUGAUUGGUAACAAGAAAGUUAAAAUAGUUCUAAAGCAUUCAGUGAUCUAGAGAAUUAACAGAAUACUAUUUUUCCAUUCCUAGCCAGAUACUCUUCUGUUUUUCUGUUGCUCUUUUCUGUUUGCUGUUAUUAUGACAAUCUUUAAAAAUAUUUCCAUUAUGGAGUCUUAGCUUAAAUUUAUAAAACCCUGUAACUACUUCUCAAACAAAUA